AUUAAACGCUGGCGGCAUGCCUUACACAUGCAAGUCGAACGGCAGCACGGGGGCAACCCUGGUGGCGAGUGGCGAACGGGUGAGUAAAGCAUCGGAACGUGCCCUGGAGUGGGGGAUAACGUAGCGAAAGUUACGCUAAUACCGCAUAUUCUGUGAGCAGGAAAGCAGGGGAUCGCAAGACCUUGCGCUCUGGGAGCGGCCGAUGUCGGAUUAGCUAGUUGGUGGGGUAAAGGCCUACCAAGGCGACGAUCCGUAGCGGGUCUGAGAGGAUGAUCCGCCACACUGGGACUGAGACACGGCCCAGACUCCUACGGGAGGCAGCAGUGGGGAAUUUUGGACAAUGGGCGAAAGCCUGAUCCAGCCAUGCCGCGUGAGUGAAGAAGGCCUUCGGUUGUAAGACUCUUCGUGGGAGAA
rnacentral:rRNA from 1 species